rnacentral:rRNA from 1 species
GACGAACGCUGGCGGCGUGCUUAACACAUGCAAGUCGAACGGAAAGGCCCUGCUUGCAGGGUACUCGAGUGGCGAACGGGUGAGUAACACGUGGGUGAUCUGCCCUGCACUUCGGGAUAAGCCUGGGAAACUGGGUCUAAUACCGGAUAGGAGCCAUUUUUAGUGUGAUGGUUGGAAAGUUUUUUCGGUGUAGGAUGAGCUCGCGGCCUAUCAGCUUGUUGGUGGGGUAAUGGCCUACCAAGGCGGCGACGGGUAGCCGGCCUGAGAGGGUGGACGGCCACAUUGGGACUGAGAUACGGCCCAGACUCCUACGGGAGGCAGCAGUGGGGAAUAUUGCACAAUGGGCGCAAGCCUGAUGCAGCGACGCCGCGUGGGGGAUGACGGCCUUCGGGUUGUAAACUCCCUUCGCUAGGGACGAAGCUUUUGUGACGGUACCUAGAUAAGAAGCACCGGCUAACUACGUG